AACGAACGCUGGCGGCGUGCCUAACACAUGCAAGUCGAGCGCGAAAAGGGCAACCUGAGUAGAGCGGCGCACGGGUGCGUAACACGUGGGUAAUCUGACUUAGAGUCGAGGAUAACCUUCCGAAAGGUUGGCUAAUACUCGGUAAGCUUACGGUGUCUUCGGACGCUGUGGGAAAAGUAGGCCUCUGUUUACAAGCUUACGCUCUGAGAUGAGCCCGCGGCCCAUCAGCUAGUUGGCGGUGUAACGGACCACCAAGGCAACGACGGGCAGCUGGUCUGAGAGGACGAUCAGCCACACUGGAACUGAGACACGGUCCAGACUCCUACGGGAGGCAGCAGUGGGGAAUUUUCCACAAUGGGCGAAAGCCUGAUGGAGCAACGCCGCGUGUGUGAUGAAGGUUUUCGGAUCGUAAAGCACUUUCGACUGGGACGAAAAACCUUUGGCUAACAUCCAGGGGCCUGACGGUACCAGGAGAAGAAGCACCGGCUAACUCUGUGCCAGCCGCCGCCGUAACAC
rnacentral:rRNA from 1 species